AGUUCCAUGCACUCAGCCAGGUCUCCAGGCUGGAGCAAGGGCUGGGGGUCAACGGGUCCUUCCUUCUCUCGGGAAACGUUCUUCUGGCGCGCAGCUGGGCGGAGGGAGAGUCGGACAUUUUCCUCUGCCUCUCUCCGGGCAGCUGGCGUGGCCACCUCGCAAGGCUGCUUCUAGGGACACGAGACUCGGGAGGGUCAGAGACUUUCAGGCCGGGCCUUCACUCCCUUCCCCGGGGCACUUGGGCAAGAGUUCCAGCUCUUGGCUACCUCUGGCCCUCACGUUCUGAAUGAUGACUGACGCGGGUUUGGGUGAUACCCCUCACAGCCCCUGUCAUUCCGGAGUGAUAAGGCACCCGCGCGUCUAGCCCCA
rnacentral:sRNA from 1 species